AUUGAACGCUGGCGGCAUGCCUUACACAUGCAAGUCGAACGGCAGCACGGGAGCAAUCCCUGGUGGCGAGUGGCGAACGGGUGAGUAAUAUAUCGGAACGUGCCCAGUCGUGGGGAUAACGUAGCGAAAGCUACGCUAAUACCGCAUACGAUCUAUGGAUGAAAGCGGGGGGUCGCAAGACCUCGCGCGAUUGGAGCGGCCGAUAUCAGAUUAGGUAGUUGGUGAGGUAAAGGCUCACCAAGCCGACGAUCUGUAGCUGGUCUGAGAGGACGACCAGCCACACUGGGACCUGAGACACGGCCCAGACUCCUACGGGAGGCAGCAGU
rnacentral:rRNA from 1 species